rnacentral:rRNA from 1 species
UACGGGGGGAGCAAGCGUUGUUCGGAUUUACUGGGCGUAAAGGGCGCGUAGGCGGUCAGCACAAGUCAGUUGUGAAAUCUCCGGGCUUAACUCGGAAAGGUCAACUGAUACUGUGCGACUAGAGUGCGGAAGGGGCAACUGGAAUUCUUGGUGUAGCGGUGAAAUGCGUAGAUAUCAAGAGGAACACCUGCGGCGAAGGCGGGUUGCUGGGCCGACACUGACGCUGAGGCGCGAAAGCCAGGGGAGCGAAUGGG